rnacentral:rRNA from 1 species
CAGUCGUGAGGAAGGCGGGUACGUUAAUAGCGUAUUCGUUUGACGUUAGCGACAGAAGAAGCACCGGCUAACUCCGUGCCAGCAGCCGCGGUAAUACGGAGGGUGCGAGCGUUAAUCGGAAUUACUGGGCGUAAAGCGCAUGCAGGUGGUUCGUUAAGUCAGAUGUGAAAGCCCGGGGCUCAACCUCGGAACAGCAUUUGAAACUGGCGGACUAGAGUACUGUAGAGGGGGGUAGAAUUUCAGGUGUAGCGGUGAAAUGCGUAGAGAUUUGAAGGAAUACCGGUGGCGAAGGCGGCCCCCUGGACAGAUACUGACACUCAGAUGCGAAAGCGUGGGGAGCAAACAGGAUUAGAUACCCUGGUAGUCCACGCCGUAAACGAUGUCUACUUGGAGGUUGUGGCCUUGAGCCGUGGCUUUCGGAGCUAACGCGUUAAGUAGACCGCCUGGGGAGUACGGUCGCAAGAUUAAAACUCAAAUGAAUUGACGGGGGCCCGCACAAGCGGUGGAGCAUGUGGUUUAAUUCGAUGCAACGCGAAGAACCUUACCUACUCUUGACAUCCAGAGAAGCCAGCGGAGACGCAGGUGUGCCUUCGGGAACUUUGAGACAGGUGCUGCAUGGCUGUCGUCAGCUCGUGUUGUGAAAUGUUGGGUUAAGUCCCGCAACGAGCGCAACCCUUAUCCUUGUUUGCCAGCGAGUAAUGUCGGGAACUCCAGGGAGACUGCCGGUGAUAAACCGGAGGAAGGUGGGGACGACGUCAAGUCAUCAUGGCCCUUACGAGUAGGGCUACACACGUGCUACAAUGGCGCAUACAGAGGGCAGCCAACUUGCGAAAGUGAGCGAAUCCCAAAAAGUGCGUCGUAGUCCGGAUUGGAGUCUGCAACUCGACUCCAUGAAGUCGGAAUCGCUAGUAAUCGUGGAUCAGAAUGCCACGGUGAAUACGUUCCCGGGCCUUGUACACACCGCCCGUCACACCAUGGGAGUGGGCUGCAAAAGAAGUGGGUAGUUUAACCUUCGGGAGGACGCUCACCACUUUGGG